UGGUUAAACUAUUAUUAUUUUAUUUUGCUUGACUAUUGUCCAUUCUUUCUGUCUUUUCUCACUUCUCUGAUUACAUUUACUCUUUGGAACUCAGGGAAGGCCUCAGAUGCUACAGGUUUUCUACAGAUUAGAGGCAGGUGGAGGACUUGGGUGGGCAGGGAGUCUGUUCUGGGAAGGCCCCAUAGGAUGCUACUCAGCUACAAUAAUAUUCAACCAGAAUUAUUUAUCAAAUUGCUAAAGCCUGAGUUUGGGUUAGCGUAAGAGUGUGAAAACCCUGGGGACACCCAUGAGCUGGGGAUACAUUUUUUUACAGUCCUUUCCUUAGAGAACUCAAUCAAGUAUUCACAGAGAAAUAAGGUAAACUUAGAGAAAGUUUUUGCCUGGGGGAAGGAAACUUAAACUGCUGCAGAAAUACCCCAAGACUAUCUCCUAGAAGGAAGGUCUUAGUCUCUUGGGAGAAAGGCAACAAAACCAUACAGAGCCUGAGGGCCUUGGUGGAAACCCACUGCAGCUUGGUGAGGAGAACAAGAGAAAAAAAAAGCUUAACAUCAGGGAACUGCUGCUGCUACUACUAAGUCACUUCAGUCGUGUCCGACUCUGCGACCCCAUAGACGGCAGCUCACCAGGCUCCCCCGUCCAUGGGAUUUUCUAGGCAAGAGUACUGGAGUGGGGUGCCAUCGCCUUCUCCGAACACCAAGGAAAGACCCAGUAUAAUUAUGCAAGGGUGGACAGCAAGGCCUGUGAAGACCACACUCUCAAUACCUGGGUCACACCUACCUCUGAUUGAAGUUUAAUCAGGAUAUCAGAUAAACCCUCCUAAUCCACUACCAAUCUAAGGAGUGCUGAGUAAAAACAACGCUGAAACAGGGAUUCACUCCAGGAAGCAGUGCAAACAGAAGACACCAAGCCAGUUUUGGAAACACAAGCCAGGGCUUUCCAGGUGGUGCUACUGGCAAAGAACCUGCCAGCCAAGGCAGGAGACAUAAGAGACCUGGGUUCAUUCCCAGGUUGAGAAGAUCUCCUGGAAGAGGGCAUGGCAACCCACUCCAGUAUUCUUGCCUGGAGAAUGCCAUGGACAGAGGAGCCUGGCAGGCUACAGUCCAUAGAGUCACAAAGAGUUGGACAUAACUGAAGCAACUUAGCAGGCAAUCCUUUUCAAGUGGGAGGAGAGAGAACCAGAAAACAAAAGCAAAACUUCCCUUGUGACAGAAGGAAAGAAGAUGGAGUAUCAAUGCAGAUAAAUAACACUAAUAUAUUUGUGCUAUUGAAGCAUAUUGAAAAACAUUUAGUCACUCAGAUACUGUUAGAAAAGAUAAUGAUUACAAGAGUAAUGUGCUGGCAAAUUUAUUUUAUAAAAUCAUCUUACAAUUGUUUCAAAAAAAGAAACAUACAACUUUGUCUUCUAAAAUUGAAAUCAACUGUAAAAAAAGAAACUAUCAUAUGCAAGAUUGAUUUAUUUAAUAAACAUUUAUGAAGGACCCUACUAUAUGCCAGAUACACAAUAUAAUACGUUAAUUGAAUAAGAAUAAAAUGGUUGAUAAUUUUUUGUUGUUGUCUUGUUU
ensembl:lncRNA